ACCAUGUGAUUACAGAGACAACCCGAGAAU
rnacentral:piRNA from 1 species